rnacentral:rRNA from 1 species
UAGGGAAUCUUCGGCAAUGGGGGGAACCCUGACCGAGCAACGCCGCGUGAGUGAAGAAGGUUUUCGGAUCGUAAAGCUCUGUUGUUAAGGAAGAACGAGUGUGAGAGUGGAAAGUUCAUACUGUGACGGUACUUAACCAGAAAGCCACGGCUAACUACGUGCCAGCAGCCGCGGUAAUACGUAGGUGGCAGGCGUUGUCCGGAUUUAUUGGGCGUAAAGCGAGCGCAGGCGGUCAAUUAAGUCUGAUGUGAAAGCCCCCGGCUCAACCGGGGAGGGUCAUUGGAAACUGGUUGACUUGAGUGCAGAAGAGGAGAGUGGAAUUCCAUGUGUAGCGGUGAAAUGCGUAGAUAUAUGGAGGAACACCAGUGGCGAAGGCGACUCUCUGGUCUGUAACUGACGCUGAGGUUCGAAAGCGUGGGUAGCAAACAGG